GACGAACGCUGGCGGCGUGCUUAACACAUGCAAGUCGAACGGAAAGGCCCUGCUGCUGUGGGGUGCUCGAGUGGCGAACGGGCGAGUAACACGUGAGUAACCUGCCCUUGACUUUGGGAUAACUUCAGGAAACUGGGGCUAAUACAGGACAGGAGCUCCUGCUGCAUGGUGGGGGUUGGAAAGUUUCGGCGGCUGGGGAUGGGCACGCGGCAUAUCAGCUUGUUGGUGGGGUAGUGGCUUACCAAGGCUUUGACGGGUAGCCAGCCUGAGAGGGUGACCGGCCACAGUCGGCCUGGGGUGCCGCCCGGACGCCAACUGGAGGCAGCGGUGGGAGAUUUUCCACGAUGGGCGGCAUCCUGGUGCAGGAACGCCGCGUUGUGAAUGACGGCUUUCCGGUUGUAAACCGCUUUCUCCUGUUACGGAGCGUGAUUGACGGUAACGGGUAAAAAAGCCCCGGCUAACUACGUG
rnacentral:rRNA from 1 species